ACUGGGACUGCCCAGUCACCUUGGCUGCCGCUUCACCUAUGGAUUUUGUGCUCGCUGCUUGCCUUCUUGCCGCUUCUGGUUUUCAUUGGUGCCGCCGAUUGUGGGUUGAUUGCGUCGCUUUUGGCAAUAUACCCAUCCUGGCUUUCGGCUAGGUUUUCCGUCCUACUUUUCCCACAUUGGCCUGAGAGCUGUAGUACAAAAAACACCGCGCGGUCUGGAGCUCUCCAUAAGCCCGCAGAACAAAAGCUGCGAUUUGCCCAAAAACCUUGCCAUGGCAACUAUACAGUCACCCCUUGCGGGUUAUUGCAUUGGAUUCAAUCUCCAGGCCAGUUGUAGCCCCCUUUUAUGAUAUGCGAGGAUACUUAACGUGUCUGAAUGUGGAAUAUAAUGUGAAAGGAAAGCAGCGCCCACUGGUGUAUCAGAAUAGUGGUGCACUACCUAUCUGCUCAUUCGUUGUUUCGGUUC
rnacentral:lncRNA from 1 species